AGCGGCUGCAACGCCGAGCGGAGGAGGCAGGAACCCGAAGGCAAGCAGGAGCUGGGUGGGGACCAUGGCCGGGAUCACCACCAUCGAGGCGGUGAAGCGCAAGAUCCAGGUUCUGCAGCAGCAGGCCGAUGAUGCAGAGGAGAGGGCCGAGCGCCUCCAGCGGGAAGUGGAGGGGGAAAGGCGGGCCCGAGAACAGGCUGAGGCUGAGGUGGCCUCCUUGAACCGUAGGAUCCAGCUGGUUGAAGAGGAGCUGGACCGAGCUCAAGAGCGCCUGGCCACUGCCCUGCAAAAGCUGGAGGAAGCUAAGAAAGCUGCUGAUGAGAGCGAGAGAGGUAUGAAGGUUAUUGAAAACCGAGCCUUAAAAGAUGAAGAAAAAAUGGAACUCCAGGAAAUCCAACUCAAAGAAGCUAAGCACAUUGCAGAAGAGGCAGACAGGAAGUAUGAAGAGGUGGCUCGUAAGUUGGUGAUUAUUGAGGGAGACUUGGAACGCACAGAGGAGCGGGCCGAGCUGGCAGAGUCCCGUUGCCGAGAGAUGGAUGAGCAAAUCAGACUGAUGGACCAGAACCUGAAGUGUCUGAGUGCUGCUGAAGAAAAGUAAUCUCAAAAAGAAGACAAAUAUGAGGAAGAGAUAAAGAUUCUUACCGAUAAACUCAAGGAGGCAGAGACACGUGCUGAGUUUGCUGAGAGAUCGGUAGCCAAGCUGGAAAAGACAAUUGAUGAUUUGGAAGAUAAACUGAAAUGCACCAAAGAGGAUCACCUCUGUACACAAAGGAUGCUGGACCAGACUCUGCUUGACCUGAAUGAGAUGUAGAACACCCCAGUCCCGCCCUGCCGCUGCUCCUCCU